AUACUGGGGGAGCUUUUGCUGAGAGUUCAGGCCAAGCCUGAAGACCCUUAUCACCUGAUCCGGAUAAUGCCGGCGCAGGGAAGUGUUAUACA
rnacentral:ncRNA from 1 species